rnacentral:lncRNA from 1 species
AAAAAAUCAUAUCAGCUUGGAUUCAAUCAUUUUAAUAACAGUCGAGAAUAUAGUCAUAUAUAUGUAUAUAUCAUUCAAAUAAAAAAGCACUGUAUUUAUAUUACAUUUAUAAUUUCCACAUCAUUAUUGUCUCCACUAGCACUUUUGAUAAAUAAUUAAUCCUUUCUAAAUGUGCAAUGAAUAUUUGAUAUGAAAUGAGGAAGGCUUCUGAUGCAAUUUUAUUUGCAUCAUUUAAAGAUCCAUUAAAAUGAAUGAUCUCCUACAUUAUGCAUUCUGACUGUAUGUUUUGUUCUAUGAUAAAUUACUGGAUAAAAGCAAACUGAUUUAACAUUUGCAGAUGUUUGUUUAAUUGAACAUGAAGUUGCAUAAAGAUGCAUUUCCCUGAAGCAUCUUCACUGAUGUGCACUAAACAUGCAGAAUCAGAUAAAAGUCGGCCGUAUUGAGUCUGUGACCCGUCCCAUCAGUAAUGAAAUGGUUAAUUGUGACAUUUAAACAGAUGAUUCUCCUACUGACCGUCCUCUGGUGCCACAGGACCUGAUUGACACCACAUCACCUGGAAGUGCUGCUGCAGGAGCCAAUCAGAUGUAGAGUUUGGAAUCCUGCACCAUGAUGUCCUGCUCUGAUUGGCUGGCCGGUAAGAGCCAAUCACUGCUGUCCAGCUCUGACGGUCUGUUCACCUCACUGAGGCGCUGUGAGACGGAGCUUGAUCGUGGCAUGGGUUCUAGCUCAGGUGGAUGGUGUAAACCUGAGCUGGGUGGGUCUGUUCAUUUGCAAUGCAUAUUGAAGGCUGGACGUCCUGGACGUCCUUUCCCCGAAGUCCUUCAUUCUCUCCGGGCACGAUGAGUUCAGCACUGAAGCUUUAGACCACUUUACUGUGGUGAUCCGUCCAAAAUGAACCGAAACCGCUACUCGCUUCAGGAGCCUGAUGUCAAAGAGUAUCUGGUGAAGGGAGACAGGUUCACAAAAUGGAAAGAAGUAAGUGUGCAGGAUCAGAAUUAGGACUCGUUGAAACACACUAUUGGUUAAUGGAUUCAUGUUUGACUGUACGACAGGUGCCUCUGGUCCUGAUGCUGAUCAUUAUUACAAAGGGUUAAACAGACGUGAUUAGCUCAUUACUAUCAGUGUUCAAUGAAAACAGGCCUCUUUGACCAUUUCGAUUCAUGUUUCUGAUGUUUUUAUUCCUUAUUUGUAUCAUGUUGAGAGAUAUUUAAUGGUUUUAUGAUAAAAUCUCUUGAUAGGACUCCAAGAAAACCACUCCGGUCACUAUGAAGAUGGAUCCCAAAGGAUUUUACCUCUAUUGGAUCAAUCAGAGCAAGGUAAGAAAAAACAUGAAUAAUAAUUUAUAUUAAAUCUAUUUUGUAAAAUCUUUACGUUUCACCUGAACUAUAUAUA